AGCAGCCGCGGUAAUUCCAGCUCCAAUAGCGUAUAUUAAAGUUGUUGCAGUUAAAAAGCUCGUAGUUGAAUUUUGGAUUCUUCCAAUUGGUCCAUCUUUUAGAUGAGUACUGGUUGUGUGGGGUCUAUCCGCCUGGUGAUACGUAAUGUCCUUUAUUGGAUGUUGCGGGUAGUCAGGACCUUUACCUUGAAAAAAUUAGAGUGUUUAAAGCAGGCUUAUGCCGGAAUACAUUAGCAUGGAAUAAUAGAAUAGGACGAAGUUGUUUUAUUUUGUUGGUUUCUAGGACAACCGUAAUGAUUAAUAGGGAUAGUUGGGGGCAUUAGUAUUCAAUUGUCAGAGGUGAAAUUCUUGGAUUUAUUGAAGACUAACUACUGCGAAAGCAUUUGCCAAGGAUGUUUUCAUUAAUCAAGAACGAAAGUUAGGGGAUCGAAGACGAUCAGAUACCGUCGUAGUCUUAACCAUAAACUAUGCCG
rnacentral:rRNA from 1 species